rnacentral:misc_RNA from 1 species
UCGCGGCUUGCGCCGGCAGUCUCCUUAGAGUCCCUUCUGUCUUACGACAGAGAUGGCAACUAAGGACAGGGGUUGCGCUCGUUGCGGGACUUAACCCGACACCUCACGGCACGAGCUGACGACAGCCAUGCAGCACCUUGCACUCUGCCUGGUUUUACCCAGGAAGGCGUAUCUCUACGCCGGUCAGAGGCAUUCUAGCCCAGGUAAGGUUCUUCGCGUUGCGUCGAAUUAAACCACAUGCUCCACCGCUUGUGCGGGCCCCCGUCAAUUCCUUUGAGUUUCAGCCUUGCGGCCGUACUCCCCAGGCGGGGCACUUAAUGCGUUAGCGCCGGCACCCAGGGGGUCGCUCCCCCAGGCACCUAGUGCCCAUCGUUUACGGCGUGGACUAC